ensembl:lncRNA novel transcript
GUGGAACAAACACGGGCACCUACUUUAGGUUUAUUGAUUUUGCUUUCCAAGGGCUAAUUCCUUUAAACCUGCUGCUUAUAUUUUGACUGAGUCAGUGCUGCUGCUACAGUUAAAUAAGUUGAAGAUCUUGUAAGGAAUUUUAGCCUGUUUUUUUAAGACUCAUCUAACAGGUGGGUGGAUCAUUUGGGGUCAGGAGUUUGAGACCAGCCUGGCCAACAUGGUGAAACCCCAUCUCUACUAAAAAUACAAAAAUUAGCCAGGCUUGGUGGCACAUGCCUGUAAUCCCAGUUACUCAGGAGGCUGAGGCAGGAGAAUCACUUGAACCUGGGAGGCAGAGGUUAUAGUGAGCCAAGAUGGCGCCACUGCACUCCAGCCUGGACAAGAGUGAGACUCCCUCUAAAAAAAAAAAAAAACCUUUGCAUAUGAGCUGCAGCAAUAAAAGUGCUAUGAGACCCAACCUCUCUGUAACCGUAUUCUUUGAAAGCUGUGGAAUAAGGCCAAGUGCAGUGGCUCACAUCUAAUCCCAGCACUUUGGA